UCGACAGACUGGCAUUUUAUAGAUGUCGAUCAUCAGCUGUGUUGGAUUCUGACUCACUGAAAACAGUUCACACAGUCCCAUGAAAAACUGUAGUUUAAUUAAAACUUCAGGACCGUCUGUUCAAACCAAUCCUCUCUGUCCAAAACAGCAGUGCAAUUACCUGGACUUUGUGCCUAAACCACACAGCACCUAAUGAUGUUGCACUGUUAUAUUAAAUAAAUAAAAGAACAAAGUCA